rnacentral:misc_RNA from 1 species
CGAGGAGUGAUGAAGUUAAUACCAAAACUAGCCGACAUCUAAGAAUAAAUCAACAAGCUACAUAAUGUAUCAUAAAGAGUGCCCUUUGUGUAUUCUAAAAUCAAUUCAGGAGCCAGAAAUCUUCUUUUCAGCUCCAUAAGCUAUAUAUUUUGCAACAUCAGCACAGCAAGUAAGCUUAUCUGCUUCCUCAUCAGGGAUUUCAAUGGAAAAUUCUUCCUCAAAAGCCAUAACAAGCUCCACCCUAUCUAAGCUGUCCAGGGACAAAUCUUUCUGGAAAUCAGCUGUUUCAGUAACCUUGGCAGCAUCAAUUUUAUCAUAUUUCUUAACCAAUCCUAUUACCCGAUCCAUAAUUUGAUGAGGACUGGUACUGCUUAAUGCAUGCGUUUGCUGAUGCAGUUGCUUGAAGACAUUUCUUCUCUGAGUAAGCAACAGCUGUUGAGCAAAACCUCUCAGCCUCACAUGGCUCAAGAUGGAGUUCCUUAUGUUUUGCAUGUUAACACAAGGAGAUUCUGUGCUAGUCGGCUUCGAAGUAACGAAUAGUUGC